rnacentral:rRNA from 1 species
UUUUUGCAGCGGUGGAUGUCUUGGCUCGAGAUGUGAUGAAGAACGUAGCGAACCACGAUAUUCCUUGUGAAUUGCGAAGUUUCGGGAAUCAACAGAGUUUUGAACGCAUGCGGCGCGCUGGCUAGUCAUAGCGCGUGUCUGAGUCGGUAUUA